rnacentral:rRNA from 1 species
AGUGAACGCUGGCGGUAGGCCUAACACAUGCAAGUCGAACGGCAGCACAGUAAGAGCUUGCUCUUACGGGUGGCGAGUGGCGGACGGGUGAGGAAUACAUCGGAAUCUACUUUUUCGUGGGGGAUAACGUAGGGAAACUUACGCUAAUACCGCAUACGACCUACGGGUGAAAGCAGGGGAUCUUCGCACCUUGCGCGAUUGAAUGAGCCGAUGUCGGAUUAGCUAGUUGGCGGGGUAAAGGCCCACCAAGGCGACGAUCCGUAGCUGGUCUGAGAGGAUGAUCAGCCACACUGGAACUGAGACACGGUCCAGACUCCUACGGGAGGCAGCAGUGGGGAAUAUUGGACAAUGGGCGCAAGCCUGAUCCAGCCAUACCGCGUGGGUGAAGAAGGCCUUCGGGUUGUAAAGCCCUUUUGUUGGGAAAGAAAAGCAGCAGGUUAAUACCCCGCUGUUCUGACGGUACCCAAAGAACAAGCACCGGCUAACUUCGUG